rnacentral:tRNA from 1 species
GCUCGGGUGGCGAAAUGGUAGACGCUGGGGACUUAAAAUCCCUUCCCAGCAAUGGGGUGCGGGUUCGAGUCCCGCCCCGAGCA